UGUGGAAGGAGAGGACCGAUCAGCAAAGCCAGUCUCCUCUAACUUCACAUAUGUGCUCUGGCACUACACACACACACAAACACACACAUACACACACACACACACACACACACACACACGGCAUGGGGGAGGCACAUGCAUGCACAAUAAUUUUUUUUUUAUUCUAUUUUAUUUUAAGUCCACUCAUUUCCCAAUCUUCUACCUCUGUUCCACAGUGAGGAGCGUAUUUAGAUGUAUUGGCCUGCAUUCACUCACCACUCAGUGAAUUAGCUCAGUCUGACCCAGGCUGGAGACAAUUGAUGGAUGUGAGUUUCCAAGCAAUCCAGUCGCCGAGAGCCCGUAAAGGGACGGUAGGGCCCUUCAGAUGUAAUGAAAUAAGCAGGAUCUAGUGUUUGCAUGGUCAUCUUAAAGACAAAAACUGCAGUUGGCUCCACUGGGCUUCAUGGAUUCCAAAGGGUGUCUAUUCUAAGUUGUGCUGGCUGUGAUUUUACAUAGCCCCGAGAAGGACAAAUAAGUCCAUUCAGCACACACACACCUCCCAGCAGCCAUUGCUGUUUCUCCCACUUAAAGAUCCUUGUGGAUUUUUUUUCUGCUUUUCUUAAGGUCUUUGGCAUCUAUAUCAUGUCAUUUUUUUUCAUGCACGGUAGGAACAGAGCAUUCAUUAUAUGCUGCCUAUUACUAUGAAUCUCUUCAUUCUGCCUCAAUGCAUUAGGGUUCCCUGCUUUUAAAAAGAAAAAAAAUAUAUAUGUCUGGAACAGCAAUCUCUUGAUGAUACUUUGUGAGCAUCAACUGAGCCUCAUGGGGUCUUGUACAUUUUGUGGUUUGCUUGCUUGGGGGGAAGGGGUUGUUUGUUUUUUGAGUUAGGAUCGCAUGUCGCCUAGACUGGCUUUGAACUUCCUGUGUAGCUGAGAGUAGCCUUGAACUCCUUAUCGUCCUGAUUCUAGAUCUCAAGGUAGGGAUCGAAAGCAUGAUCCACACCUGGCUUAAAUACAGCUUCCAUGUCAGUUAUACCCAACCCAUGAGAGCUAGAACUGAGUAUAUGUGUACAAACUACAUAGGCAGGCCACAAGCAAUCACGAGGCAGCGCUGAUACGACACCUUAGCUUUUCUUAAGGAAAAGCAUAUGCUUUAUAAUCAGUAAAAUACCAUAUAAGCAAAGCACCGUGAGAGGGAACAAAUGGAGAGUCUCAUCAGGGGUUAAUGUCUUCCUUCUAUUACAAAAAGAAAAUCCUCCCCGCCUUUGUUCCCAUUGAUCAGGAUGAUAUUGUGUCGCAUACAGCAAGAGAGACCUCAGAUUCUGUCGGGAUGCAGCAUCAAAAGUGAAGUCUCUCCAGAUAUCUGACUUUUGCCGUCACAGUCAUUUGUCGGGUGCUGGCAAUUGCGAGUUAUGCUGCUGGGGUCCCUUAUCCAUCUCCCACUUUAAAAAUCACUAUGCACCUAGC
rnacentral:lncRNA from 1 species